rnacentral:rRNA from 1 species
UCAGCGACUUAUAUUCUGUAGCAAGGUUAACCGUAUAGGGGAGCCGGAGGGAAACCGAGUCUUAACCGGGCGUUAAGUUGCAGGGUAUAGACCCGAAACCCGGUGAUCUAGCCAUGGGCAGGUUGAAGGUUGGGUAACACUAACUGGAGGACCGAACCGACUAAUGUUGAAAAAUUAGCGGAUGACCUGUGGCUGGGGGUGAAAGGCCAAUCAAACCGGGAGAUAGCUGGUUCUCCCCGAAAGCUAUUUAGGUAGCGCCUCGUGAAUUCAUCUCCGGGGGUAGAGCACUGUUUCGGCUAGGGGGCCAUCCCGGCUUACCAACCCGAUGCAAACUGCGAAUACCGGAGAAUGUUAUCACGGGAGACACACGGCGGGUGCUAACGUCCGUCGUGAAGAGGGAAACAACCCAGACCGCCAGCUAAGGUCCCAAAGUCAUGGUUAAGUGGGAAACGAUGUGGGAAGGCCCAGACAGCCAGGAUGUUGGCUUAGAAGCAGCCAUCAUUUAAAGAAAGCGUAAUAGCUCACUGGUCGAGUCGGCCUGCGCGGAAGAUGUAACGGGGCUAAACCAUG